GGUCAGUGAUGAGCAGUAAAAGGUCUGAUUACCCAGAAUCCUCUCUGCCUCUGGCUCCCAGCAGCCCCGGCUCUCUGCUCCCAUCAUGCUCUAGUGCUGCAGUGUGGGCGCCGAGCUGCUGACAGACAGGAAGUGACAUCACAGUGUCAGAGUCUGUAAAGAGCAUACAGCCUCAGUGUGAUGUCAUCCAACAGAACCAAUCAGAAAGGAGCAUGAGACAGAGGGGGAGGGAGCUGAUCUCAAGUUUUCAACCUGAGACC